UUGAAGAAACAAAGGCAAUGAGGAACAAAGGGCUCAAUGCUCCUCCUCUAACGAAACUCAGCAGAAACGGGGUGUACGUGAAUGUGGUGGGCAAAGUCAGAGCGGCUUUUGAAACAGAAGAAGUUGUUAGAUUAGAUUGUACCCACGUGGGAGCAAGUGAUUGCAAAAGAAUUGGUGUUAAAUUACGGGAUCUGGUACCAUGUGUUCCUAUCUUGUUCAAAGAUGAGCAGAUUAUUCUCUGGAGAGGCAAAAGAGAUGAACAGAACAGAACUCCGGCUCCUGAAUGGAACUUAAGCUCACAGAUGACUUUUGAAAUUUCGAGCUUCCAUCUUGGAGCAAGGCACUCACAAUCUUCAUUUGGCAAAUGAAUCUGCCAAGGCUUCUCGACUGUUGCUUGAACUUGUUAUACAAGAACUGACCAUUAUGUUCAAUGACAUUAUCCUGGGUUUUGCUGAUGAGAUGUGCUAAAUUAGGCAGCUCAGAUCACAGAUGACAAAGAAAUGCAAGCAGG
rnacentral:misc_RNA from 1 species